UUUUUUAUUUUUAAUUGUUAAAUAUACUUCUGAAAUAUGUUCUACUGUAAAAAAGUGGCUUGCGGAAUUACUAUUUAUUUUUAGUUUGAUAAUGUUUAAAAAGUUUUGUCCUAUGAAGCUUACAAUCGAAACGAUACCAAUACAACUUCUGGUCAAACGUUUUCAGUACUAUGCUUUAAAAAUAAUAAAUAUUGAGUCAUUUAAACUCAUUUUUUUCUCUGUCUAUGCGAAAAAUGCUGUUUUAUAUCAUUUGAGACCACAGUUAUGACGGGGCAUGAGAAAUAAAGUUGUAUCAAGUUAUCUUUAAAUUUUAAAUAAAUGAUAUUUUACAAAGCUCAAUUGGUCAAGAAACUAUGUUUCGAGCUUUUAACCGGUCAAAUUCCUAUUACACAACAAAAUAUAGAAGAGCAAUGCGUAGAAGGCGAUAGAGUAUGACCCACGUGCGCUCCCCGUUGUUAGCUGUUGAGCAGAAUGGAUUUAAAAUUUUCGUAAAUUAAUUUUCUUUUACCUAUGUUAGCUUUCCAACCACGCCUAAAAGGGAUGCCACAUUAAGGGGACAGGAAAUCAUUUAAGUGAUCAAUAGGGGUGCUUGGUAAGCCGUUCCUAAAUGGUGAUAGCAUUGCUAACCGAGGCUCAAGACGGAAGUCUCAAUAUGCGCAAACUCCGCCCGUCCGUAAUGACGCGUAGUAGCUUGUUUGUAUCUCACUAGAAGAGAGAAAACGCUUUUGCGGUGAGUCGAAGUUCCGUCAUAACUGGUCGGAUACAUGCUUGCUGCGCAUCGAUAGUUUGCUCUGAGACAAAAUAAAGAGUAUAAAGUUUGGGUCUCCGC